GACUCACCCGCCGCGGGGACUGGGGGAGAGGGGGAGCAGGGCUGGGACUCCCCUUUCCCACCCUGGAGUUUGGGGGCUCUGGCACUGGGGCUGAGAGGGCAGCUUCGAGUCCAAAUUCUCGCUCAAACCCACCUAAACCAAAGCGGCCCGGGGGACGUCGGGAGGCAUGAAGGAGAGUCACAAGGAGACCCCUGAAAGGGUUUCGCUUUCUCUCCCCUGCUGAUGGCUGGGCUGGGGACAGGUCUGGGAGCCUUGCUGCCGCCCUUGCUCCGGCAUUCUGCGCUUGUGUCUUCCCUGCUCCUCUGGGGGUAAUUACAGCCCUGCGCAGCUGCCUUACCCAGGUCUCUAAUCUGCUGGGUCCCUCCCGGCUCCAAACUGGGUGGUCCUAGCCCUGGACCUCCCCCACCCCCACCAGACGACCCCGCCAAUCACCCCAGAAGGAUUUUCUCCCAGUGGUCUGUCGAUGAGGGGGUGGUGACCCCCUCCAGAAUCCACUCCCCAAAGUAGCCCUGCUUCCCAGCCCUCCAGAAUGGACUCCCAGCCCCCUUGUUGGUGCCAGCUGAGGUGAGGGCUUCAAGCCAAGCCAGGCCCAGCCCGGGGCAGAGUGGGGAGCUUGCUGGGAAGGUGGAUGGAUGAUGGUGGUGCUG
rnacentral:lncRNA from 1 species